rnacentral:rRNA from 1 species
CCUACGGGAGGCAGCAGUGGGGGAUAUUGGACAAUGGGGGGAACCCUGAUCCAGCGACGCCGCGUGAGUGAAGAAGUAUUUCGGUAUGUAAAGCUCUGUCAGCAGGGAAGAAAGAAAUGACGGUACCUGACCAAGAAGCCCCGGCUAACUACGUGCCAGCAGCCGCGGUAAUACGUAGGGGGCAAGCGUUAUCCGGAAUUACUGGGUGUAAAGGGAGCGUAGACGGUUAAGUAAGUCUGGAGUGAAAGGCCGGGGCCCAACCCCGGGACUGCUCUGGAAACUAUUGAACUUGAGUGCAGGAGAGGUAAGCGGAAUUCCUGGUGUAGCGGUGAAAUGCGUAGAGAUUAGGAGGAACACCAGUGGCGAAGGCGGCUUACUGGACUGUAACUGACGUUGAGGCUCGAAAGCGUGGGGAGCAAACAGGAUGAGAUACCCGGGUAGUC